rnacentral:rRNA from 1 species
GACAGAGGUGCCAAGCGUUAGGCGGAAUCACUGGGCUUAAAGCGUGUGUAGGCGGGUGCCUAAGUACCUUGUGAAAUCCCACGGCUCAACCGUGGAACUGCUCGGUAUACUGGGUGCCUUGAGCCACUUAGGGGCUACCGGAACAAAUGGUGGAGCGGUGAAAUGCGUAGAUAUCAUUUGGAACGCCAAUGGUGAAAACAGGUAGCUGGGAGUGUGCUGACGCUGGGACACGAAAGCCAGGGGAGCGAACGGG